rnacentral:rRNA from 1 species
UACCAGCACCCCGAGUUGUCGGGACGAUUAUUGGGCCUAAAGCAUCCGUAGCCUGUUCUGCAAGUCCUCCGUUAAAUCCACCUGCUCAACUGAUGGGCUGCGGAGGAUACCGCAGAGCUAGGAGGCGGGAGAGGCAAACGGUACUCAGUGGGUAGGGGUAAAAUCCAUUGAUCUACUGAAGACCACCAGUGGCGAAGGCGGUUUGCCAGAACGCGCUCGACGGUGAGGGAUGAAAGCUGGGGGAGCAAACCGG